AGGUGGUGAAACUAAGUAUUGAAAAUCUGGAUGGCAGUUUCCGGAAGAGGAAUGAACAAAUGUUUGCGCGCAUGGAUACUUAGAAAUAUUUGCUUUAUGAACGUUCCAAGGAUGAUGCGGGGCGUGGGAAAGGAAGGAUAAGCUACUACAUCGUCAUGCCAUACGUAGAUACAGAGCUUUACCAUUUAUUGAUCCGUGGGAUUUAGUCCUUCAACGAAUGAAAUCCUAUUUGCUUUAAAGAAGAUUUCUCACCGUUAUGACAUGGAAGUUUUCGAAAAUAAGCUCCCUAGAACUACAGAUGAGACCACACCAAAUAUGGCAAUAAACCUUGACUCUCCAGAGACUUCACGAGUACUAAGGAAUUUGCUUAUAGCAGCUACGAUGGCACAGUGGUUAGAGUGCAGCACUGCAGG